rnacentral:lncRNA from 1 species
AUGUUGGCAGAGACCAUGUUUCUCUCCAGCUGCUCCAGUGGAAAUCAUCACAUUACAAUUUUCCAGUGUAGACUAUGGAGAGAGAGAGACAGAGAUAAGAAAGAGAGGGUUAAGCUGCAUCUGGUUCUUACAGGGCAACAAAAAGAACAGUUUAUCCAUGAGUUAAAAGAAGCAUGCAAGCACACUGUAGUUAAAAAUAUUAAAAGACCAAGAAAAGAUAUAUUGAUGCUCACGGAACUAUGGCGGAAGCUCACUGGGGCAUGCCUUCAGCACAGGGUAAAGGGAAGACUAGGCAUUGGACAGAUUUUUAAGGAAGAAGACAGCAUUUCUGCCGAGCCUCCAUGA